rnacentral:rRNA from 1 species
CAGUCGCCGCGGUAAUACAGAGGGUGCGAGCGUUAAUCGGAUUUACUGGGCGUAAAGCGUGCGUAGGCGGCUUCUUAAGUCGGAUGUGAAAUCCCUGAGCUUAACUUAGGAAUUGCAUUCGAUACUGGGAAGCUAGAGUAUGGGAGAGGAUGGUAGAAUUCCAGGUGUAGCGGUGAAAUGCGUAGAGAUCUGGAGGAAUACCGAUGGCGAAGGCAGCCAUCUGGCCUAAUACUGACGCUGAGGUACGAAAGCAUGGGGAGCAAACAGGAUUAGAUACCCCGGUAGUCCCUGUCUCUUAUAA